UAGGGAAUCUUCCGCAAUGGACGCAAGUCUGACGGAGCAACGCCGCGUGAGUGAAGAAGGAUUUCGGUUCGUAAAACUCUGUUGUUAGAGAAGAACAGCGCAUAGAGUAACUGUUAUGCGUGUGACGGUAUCUAACCAGAAAGCCACGGCUAACUACGUGCCAGCAGCCGCGGUAAUACGUAGGUGGCAAGCGUUGUCCGGAUUUAUUGGGCGUAAAGCGAGCGCAGGCGGUCAAUUAAGUCUGAUGUGAAAGCCCCCGGCUCAACCGGGGAGGGUCAUUGGAAACUGGUUGACUUGAGUGCAGAAGAGGAGAGUGGAAUUCCAUGUGUAGCGGUGAAAUGCGUAGAUAUAUGGGGGAACACCAGUGGCGAAGGCGACUCUCUGGUCUGUAACUGACGCUGAGGCUCGAAAGCGUGGGUAGCAAACAGG
rnacentral:rRNA from 1 species